rfam:Aspergillus clavatus NRRL 1 1099423829802 genomic scaffold, whole genome shotgun sequence.
GCGUUAGUGGUGUAGCGGUAACAUACUUGCCUUCCAUGUUUGAGCAAGCAAGUGCUCGGGGUUCGACUCCCCGCUGACGCA